rnacentral:rRNA from 1 species
GACGAACGCUGGCGGCGUGCUUAACACAUGCAAGUCGAACGGUGAAGCGCCUUCCUUUUUGGUGGGUGUGGAUGAGUGGCGAACGGGUGAGUAACACGUGAGUAACCUGCCCCCUUCUUCUGGAUAACCGCAUGAAAGUGUGGCUAAUACGGGAUAUUCUGGGUCUGUCGCAUGAUGGGUCUGGGAAAGAUAUUGUUUCGGUGGGGGAUGGGCUCGCGGCCUAUCAGCUUGUUGGUGGGGUGAUGGCCUACCAAGGCGGUGACGGGUAGCCGGCCUGAGAGGGUGGACGGUCACACUGGGACUGAGACACGGCCCAGACUCCUACGGGAGGCAGCAGUGGGGAAUAUUGCUCAAUGGGCGCAAGCCUGAUGCAGCGACGCCGCGUGAGGGAUGGAGGCCUUCGGGUUGUGAACCUCUUUCGCCAGUGAAGCAGGCCUGCCUCGUUUGUGGGUGGGUUGACGGUAGCUGGAGAAGAAGCGCCGGCUAACUACGUG